UGCUGUGGCUAGGACUUUUAAUACUAUGUUGAAUAACAGUAGUGAGAGUAGGCAUCUUUGUCUUGUUCCAGAUUUUAGUGGGAAGGCUUUCAGCUUUUUGUGGUUGAGUAUUAUAUUAGCUGUGGAUUUGUCAUCAAUGGCUUUUAUUAUGUUAAGGAAUGUUCCCUCUAUACCCACUUUGGCGAGGGUCUUGAUCAUGAAUGGAUGUUGAACUUUGUCAAAUGCUUUUUCUGCGUCUAUUGAGAUGAUCAUAUGAUUUUUGACUUUUUUUUUGUUAAUGUGGUGUAUGAUGCUGAUUGAUUUGCGUAUGUUGAACCAUCCUUGUGAACCUGGGAUGAACCCAACCUGGUCAUGGUGUAUAAUUUUUUUGAUAUGUUGUUGGAUUCGGUUGGCUAAGAUUUUGUUGAGAAUUUUUGCAUCUAUAUUCAUCAAUGAUAUUGGGCGAUAGUUUUCUUUUUUGGUGGUAUCUCUGUCUGGUUUUGGAAUGAGGGUGAUGGUGGCCUCAUAGAAUGUCUUUGGGAGUAUUCCUUCUUCUUCAACCUUUUGAAAGAGUUUAAGGAGGAUGGGCACCAAUUCCUCUUUAUAUGUUUGAUAGAAUUCACCUGUGAAGCCAUCUGGUCCUGGACUUUUAUUUGUAGGGAGUGAUUUUAUGACCUCUUCAAUUUCAUUUCUAGUGAUCGGUCUGUUCAGUUGGUCUGUUUCUGCUUGAUUCAGUUUUGGCAGGCUGUAAGAUUCUAGAAAAUUGUCCAUUUCUUCCAGAUUGUCAAACUUGUUGCCAUAUAGUUGUUCAUAGUAUUCUCUUAUGGUUUUUUGUAUUUCUGCUGUAUCCGUUGUGAUUUCUCCUUUUUCAUUUAUAAUUUUGGUUAUUUGGGUUCUUUCUCUCCUCUUUUUAGUGAGUCUGGCCAGGGGUUUGUCAAUUUUGUUCACCUUUUCAAAGAACCAGCUCUUGGUUUUAUUAAUUUUCUCUAUUGUUUUUUGAGUCUCUAUUUUAUUGAUUUCUUCUUUGAUCUUUAUAAUUUCCUUCCUUCUGCUGACUUUAGGACUUUUUUGUUCUUCUUUUUCUAAUUCAUUUAGGUGGAGGGUUAAGUUGUCAAUUUGGGAUCUUUCUUCUUUUUUGAGAAAGGCCUGUAUUGCUAUAAAUUUCCCUCUGAGCACUGCUUUCGCAGCAUCCCAUAGAUUUUGAGAGGUUGUGUCUUCAUUAUCAUUUGUUUCAAGGUAGUUUUUAAUUUCCUUCUUGAUUUCCUCAUUGACCCAUUGGUUUUUUAGUAGCAUGUUGUUUAGUCUCCAUGGAGUAGGUUUUUUCUCUUUGCUUUUCCCAUGGUUGAUUUCUAAUUUCAUGGCAUUGUGGUCAGAGAAGAUACUUGAGAUAAUUUCUAU
rnacentral:lncRNA from 1 species